UUCUGGUUGAUCCUGCCAGAGGCGACCGCUAUUGGAGUUCGAUUAAGCCAUGCGAGUAGAAAGAAAUUAGAUUCUUUGCAUACUGCUCAGUAACACGUGGAUAACCUGCCCUACACUGGGGGAUAAUCUCGGGAAACUGAGGAUAAUACCCCAUAGACCACUACGCCUGGAACGGUGAGUGGUUGAAAGCUCAGGCGGUGUAGGAUGGGUCUGCGGCGUAUCAGGUCGUAGGGGGUGUAAUGGACCUCCUAGCCAUCGACGCGUACGGGUUGUGGGAGCAAUAGCCCGGAGACGGAUUCUGAGACACGAAUCCGGACCCUACGGGGUGCAGCAGGCGCGAAAACUUCACACUGCAGGAAACUGUGAUGAGGGAACUCCAAGUGACUGCACAUUGUGUAGCCUUUUCUUGAAUCUUAAUAGUUCUUGGAAUAAGGGCUGGGAAAGACCGGUGCCAGCCGCCGCGGUAAUACCGGCAGCUCGAGUGGUCGUCGCUUUUAUUGGGCCUAAAACGUCCGUAGCCUGUUUGGUAAAUCUGUGGGUAAAUCAACGAGCUCAACUCGUUGAAUUCUGCAGAGACUGCCAGACUAGGGACCGGGAGAGGUAUGAGGUACUCUGGGGGUAGGGGUAAAAUCCUGUCAUCCUCAGAGGACCACCUGUUGCGAAGGCGUCAUACUGGAACGGAUCCGACGGUCAGGGACGAAGCCUAGGGGCACGAACCGGAUUAGAUACCCGGGUAGUCCUAGGUGUA
rnacentral:rRNA from 1 species